GCGGUGCGGGCGCGCUGCGCAUGUGCAGCCGUUACCGGCAGUAACGGAAGGGCGCCGUGCCUCGGCGGCGGCGAUGGCGCGGCGCGUCGUGACGGGGCUGCUCCUGCUGGAGGCGGCGGGGCUGCUCGGCGCCCUCCUGCUCUACCGCGCCAUGGACCGCAGCCAAGAUUUCAGAUAUAAAAUGCAGAAGAGGUUUCCAUCAAUUCUGGAAGUGUAUUACAAAUCCAAUGAGUGGUCUGGAAUUCACGGCAUAAGGGAGAAUGACCAAAUGGCAUGGUUAAGCAGCAAGAACUGAACCCUCUGUGCCUGAACUGUUUCUUCUUUUUGAUGAUGCUUUUCACAUCCCUAUUGUGAAGCCACUUGUCACGCUCUAUUUCCCACUGGAUCUGUUUGACAUCUGUAAGAGGAAAGGUGAGAAAUAAGGAGCCGAUGAAUACUUCUGACCAUGAUGUGGAAUACAGAUGAAUCAUGUAAAAGUUACAACUUGGCUACUGUAUUUAUAAGCGUUAAUAAAGUGCAAGCUGCCAAUUAUUUUUUUUUUUAUACCAGAGAAAGUUUUGGUUUUUUCAUUUCACAAAACAUGCCCUACCAUUUCAGAGUUUAAGACCGCUCUUGCAGUUGCUUUGUAUUUUACUAAUGCUAGACAUGUUUGUGUUAGGACUACACAGUGUUUGAGUGCUGUUGUUAACAUUUUUCAGGUGACACCGGCAAGACUUGUAAAAAUCAGUCGGUAUAUACACAUUUAAUUUGUUAGAAUUAUUUCUGGGAAACUACUUUUGCUUCACUGAUACUGCAAGGAAAUACUCUGGUAGGUAGGUAAAGACAGCCAUGCCUUAUGCCUUGCUGUCACAAGAAUCCAGGACAUGCUUUUAUCAGAGCAAAAUUCCCACGAACACAUGACAAACAGCAUACUGCCCAUCCUUAUUUGCAGUGUGAAAGGGCGACAUGAUAGCCUCUUCCUCUUUUCUGAAGCCUUAUUCGCUCCAGUAGUCACUGGGCAUCUCUCCUAACUGAAGAAAACUAAGUCAUGUCUUACCAACGUUAAGCUACUGCCCCUACUGUGUGAUUUCUGGCCACGUGUGUAUUUCAGUUAAAGAAGGUACAUCUUCUUAAGUACAGAAGCUGAAGAGAAAGAAGUAAAACAGCAUUACAGCUAUCUGCUCUUUGUAGCAUGUACUUACUUGCAUUAUCUCUGUUGGCCAUGGCGUUCAUUCCGAUAUUGUCAAACUUGGACCCAGCAUUUUCAUCCAGCAGAUAGCCAAACUUUAAAGAGAGAAAUUUUAGUAUUUUAUUACGAAGAAACCAGUAAAAUGCUUGAUCGCUUUUUUGCUAAGGACUGAUCAAACUCACCUCUUCUGCAGAUGCCAGUAUACCGGCAUCCUUGAAUUUUCUCUUCUUUCCUCGGUUGGAUCCUUCAAACAAAAGUAUUAUUCUUACAAGACAGAAUUUCAAGUUCACAAAGACACUAAAACAUGUUUUUAUUUAUUUAUUUAAUGAGACCUUCUAAAAUAGUUGUGAUAGAAACCUUUAUUUGCAACCUCCCCUAAAAAAAAUAAAGGAAAUAUUCCAACCAAGAAUAGCACAAAUGUGUACAUCAGAUGUUAGUAAUAGAAGCACAAACCACCAGUACAAUUCCAUGCUUCCUUCAAAAUUCCUCCAGUUCUCAGUCCUUCAACAGCAGAUUGUGACUCUGAAUUAGGCCACCCUCCUUUUCAUUUAUCUGAACCCAGAUGCAAAAGCAUAGAUAAUCUACUGUACUGCUGUACUAAAACCCUCUGAUUCCAAAGUUUUUCAGACCCUCUAUUUGUAUUAAACCUUCUCAAAUGGAAAUCAUGGCAGUGUUUCCUUACCUUCAAAUGAUCCCACAAAAUUCAUAUCUUUCUUUCUCUUGCCCUUUUUACCAACAGACUUCAAUUGCUUGUCACUGUUUGGAUCUGACAGAAAGAAAAAAAAGAUACAUCAAUCCCUCUUUCUCACACCAUGUACAUGUAUUUAGAGCAGAGAUUAAAACUUCUUUUUAGGCAUAUUUGUCAUAAUGGUCCGAGUCUUUACUUUUUAAAAGUUUAAAACACAGUGCACACAACCAAAUCUGGGAUUUCUUCAACCCAGACAAUUAAAAAUUGGUCAGUGGUGUGCCAUUCUUUACGCUUUUUUUUUUCCCCACAGCACCAAAAAGCAAUGAAAUACGAUACUAAGAUACAUAAAAUAUGAAGGCUAAAAGCAGGUGUUAUGUAAACCUUGAAUGUCUGCUUGGGAAGUUUGGUGAAAUAAUCAUCUAAUGAAAGAUUAAUGUGUUAACAGCUGUAUGAAUAGUUUAUCUCCUCUGCCCUCAAUCAUUUUCCUGCAACUUUAAGUUAUUAGUUGAAAUACUCCAUUGAUCUGUGCUUUUCCAGCCACAUAAAGUGUAUACUUUUAGUUGAAAAGAUAAUAAACCAUGCAAGUGCAA